GAGUGAGAGCAAAUCCCAAAAAUAACGUCUCAGUUCGGAUUGUAGUCUGCAACUCGACUACAUGAAGCUGGAAUCGCUAGUAAUCGCGAAUCAGAAUGUCGCGGUGAAUACGUUCCCGGGUCUUGUACACACCGCCCGUCACACCAUGGGAGUCAGUAACGCCCGAAGCCGGUGACCUAACCGAAAGGGAGGAGCCGUCGAAGGUGGGACCGAUAACUGGGGUGAAGUCGUAACAAGGUAGC
rnacentral:rRNA from 1 species